rnacentral:rRNA from 1 species
UGGGGAAUAUUGGACAAUGGGCGCAAGCCUGAUCCAGCCAUGCCGCGUGAGUGAUGAAGGCCCUAGGGUUGUAAAGCUCUUUCACUGGUGAAGAUAAUGACGGUAACCGGAGAAGAAGCCCCGGCUAACUUCGUGCCAGCAGCCGCGGUAAUACGAAGGGGGCUAGCGUUGUUCGGAUUUACUGGGCGUAAAGCGCACGUAGGCGGACUAUUAAGUCAGGGGUGAAAUCCCGGGGCUCAACCCCGGAACUGCCUUUGAUACUGGUAGUCUUGAGUUCGAGAGAGGUGAGUGGAAUUCCGGGUGUAGAGGUGAAAUUCGUAGAUAUUCGGAGGAACACCAGUGGCGAAGGCGGCUCACUGGCUCGAUACUGACGCUGAGGUGCGAAAGCGUGGGGAGCAAACAGG